rnacentral:rRNA from 1 species
CGCCCAACAGCUAGCCUUGAAAACCUAAAAACAACAAAUCCACAUUAAUUAACCCCACACACACCUAACGAACAUUAAAUAAAUCAUUCUUCCCCCCUAGUAUGAGCGACAGAAAAGGGACAUUUUUGAGCGAUAGAAAAAGUACCGUAAGGGAACGCUGAAAGAGAAAUGAAACAACUCAGUCAAAGCAAGAAACAGCAGAGUCUUCUCCUCGUACCUUUUGCAUCAUGAUUUAGCCAGCAACAAUCAAGCAAAGUGCCCUUUAGUUUGACUCCCCGAAACUAAGUGAGCUACUCCGGGACAGCCUAUCAAGGGCAAACCCGUCUCUGUGGCAAAAGAGUGGGAAGAGCUCCGAGUAGCGGUGACAGAUCAACCGAACUUAGUGAUAGCUGGUUGCCUAAGAAAUGGAUAUAAGUUCAGCCUACAGACUUCUCAACUCGAACGAACACCCUUUGACGUUACUGCCCUCACCCAGCAGUAUAAUUUAUUGAACGACCCAAGAGACAAAAGAAAUCCGUAGAGUUAAUCAAAAGGGGGACAGCCCUUUUGAUACAAGAAACAACUUUACUAGGAGGUUAAAGAUCAUAGUCUCAACUAAAGGUACAGUAUUCUGGUGGGCUUAAAAGCAGCCAUCCAUAAUGAAAGCGUUAUAGCUCAAAUGUGCCCCUACCCUUAAAAUAAGGAUAAAACUAUCUUAGACCCCUUUAACUAUUAGGCCCCUCUAUACCCCUAUAGAAGUGACAAUGCUAAUAUGAGUAAUAUGAGACUCCUCUCCCGACGCAAGUGUACAUCGAAACGGAAACCCCAUCGAAAAUUAACGACCCCAAUUUACAGAGGGAAUUGAACCAUCACUAUGACCUUUCAAGAAAACACUUCAACAUCCAUCGUUGACCCUACACUGGUGUGUCCCUUGGGAAAGACUAAAAGAAGAAGAAGGAACUCGGCAAAUAACAUUUUAGCCUCGCCUGUUUACCAAAAACAUCGCCUCUUGCAAACAUACAUAUAAGAGGUCACGCCUGCCCGGUGACUCUAUGUUAAACGGCCGCGGUAUACUGACCGUGCCAAGGUAGCGCAAUCACUUGCCCUUUAAAUGGGGGCCCGUAUGAACGGCGCCACGAGGGCUAAUCUGUCUCCUUCUUCCAGUCAAUGAAAUUGAUCUCCCCGUGCAGAAGCGGGGAUAAACACAUAAGACGAGAAGACCCUGUGGAGCUUUAGAUACUAAGAUUGAUCCCCUCAACAUACUCUGACAAAAGUAUUUAAACAAGGAAUUCAAUCAGAUUAUCUUUGGUUGGGGCGGCCGCGGGGAUCAAAAUAACCCCCAUGUGGACCGGGAAUCUCAGUUACACUCUAGUACUUUUUAUUCCUACAAUCAAGAGUCACCACUCUAAACAACAGAACUUCUGACCAACAAUGAUCCGACAAAGUCGAUCAACGGACCAAGUUACCCCAGGGAUAACAGCGCAAUCCCCUCUAAGAGUCCUUAUCGACGAGGGGGUUUACGACCUCGAUGUUGGAUCAGGACAUCCCAUUGGCGUACAAGCUAUUAAGGGUUCGUUUGUUCAACGAUUAAAGUCCUACGUGAUCUGAGUUCAGACCGGAGUAAUCCAGGUCAGUUUCUAUCUAUGUAAUGUUCCCUUCUAGUACGAAAGGACCGAAAUGAAGAGGUCCAUACUUCAAGCACACCUCCCCCUAAAUCAAUGCAACUAACUAAAAUGAACAACAGGGCAUAUACUCGUUUCUCCCAGAGAACAUGGAAAC